CUCCAGAAGGGAAGUGUCUGCUCUCGCUCUGGCUGCUAUCCUGCUGGAGCCACCAGCCUCAUCUUUCACUGUCCUGCACAGAGCAUGCCUCAGGACAGUAGGCAGCAAUAACCCAGCGUCUCCACCUGUGCAAUAAUUAACCACCUCGUGCUGCUCCAGCUUCCAUGAACUCCUCAUUCUAGGCACCCACAGGCAUCCCAGUACCUUACUCUCCUAGUUCUGAUCAAGAUUCUCACCAAGAUAAUUUGUUGGAUCAUCAGGUAAAGCUCUUUGCUACUGCUGCUUCACCAUGCCUGUCUUCUUCCUGAGAUGAUGCCAAU